rnacentral:rRNA from 1 species
UAAAAGCCGUCCCAGUUCGGAUUGCAGGCUGCAACCCGCCUGCAUGAAGUUGGAAUCGCUAGUAAUCGCGGAUCAGCAUGCCGCGGUGAAUACGUUCCCGGGCCUUGUACACACCGCCCGUCACACCAUGAGAGUCGGGAACACCCGAAGUCCGUAGCCUGACCGCAAGGGGGGCGCGGCCGAAGGUGGGUUCGAUAAUUGGGGUGAAGUCGUAACAAGGUACC